rnacentral:lncRNA from 1 species
AAAAACAACUGUGUGUGUUUCCUUUCUGCAGUGCUGGGUAGAAUCAACAUGCAAUACUGUAAGAAUCCAAUGCCAUCUUAAGUUCUUGUUCCCAGGUGCUCCUUUGUAUUCAGAUCAGGCCUCAGCACAAUAACGUAGCACUUGGGGAGGAAGAUGCAGCCCAGGAGCCCAGCACUGGAGGCCAACAUAGAGAAGAUCUGCACGGCCACCAUGUACUUGCCCUUGGUGCUCAGGUAGGUGGGCACAAAAGACACCCAAACACUGCAGAAGACCAGCAUGCUGAAGGUGAUCAGCUUGGCUUCGUUGAAGGAGCCGGGCAGCUUCCUGGCUAGGAAAGCCACCGUGAAGCAGAUGGCAGCCAAGAAGCCCAGGUAGCCGAGGGCAACGUAGAACAUGGCCACAGAGCCUUCGUUGCAUUGCAAGAUGAUCUCUUCCACCUGGGAGUGCAUGUCAGACUCUGGAAAUGGGGGAGAAGAGCCCAGCCAGAUGGUGCAGAUGAGAACUUGCACACCAGAACAGGAGAUGACAAUGGAGUUGGCCAGACUCUUCCCUAACCAUCUCCUCACCCUGUUCCCGGGCUUUGUGGCCAGGAAGGCCAGCACCACCGUGAUGGUCUUGGCCAAGAGAGAAGAAACAGCAAUGGAGAAGAUGAUGCUGAAGGCCGUUUGUCGGAGAAGGCAGGUCUCUUUCCUUGGGCGCCCGAUGAAGAGGAAGGAGGACAAAAAGGAAAACAGGAGGGAGACGAGCAGGAUGUAGGAGAGGUCCCGGUUGUUGGCUUUGACUAUGGGAGUUUCCUUGUAUUUAAUGAAGAUUUCUAACACAAUGCCUGCUGUAGAAGAUAAGAAGAGGACAAUGGAAGCUAAGGUAAUCCCCAGAUGGUCUUCAUAAGCCAGGAAGGUGAUAAUCUUGGGGACACAUUGAUCUCUGACCUUGUUUGGAUGCUGAUCUUCUGGGCAUUUGGUGCAACGUUCUGCAUCUGAGGAAGAGGAAAAGAGUGGCUUCAGCAUCCCUUACAUCCAUGACCACCUGUGCUCCGGAAAUAAGAAUGUGUAAAGAGUGGCAAGCAAUUCUUUGUUCCUUUUCUGCAAAGGGC